GAAAUUAAAGUAGUUUGAUUUAGGAUACAAUGAACUGCAAUUUAAAACGAAAACGGAGGGAUUAGCGUGUUAUUGCUACCGUCUCCCUAGCGAGGGAUAAAUAAAAAGAGCAUAAGUUCUUUAGCGGACUUCUUAAAAAAGUACCUUCCUAUGAAGUAAGCUAGCAGGAUUUUUACCGUACAGUAUUUUUUUUUCAUGUUAAUGAUCAAUCUUUUCCUUUU
rnacentral:lncRNA from 1 species